rnacentral:rRNA from 1 species
AGUCGAGCGACUGAUUAGAAGCUUGCUUCUAUGACGUUAGCGGCGGACGGGUGAGUAACACGUGGGCAACCUGCCUGUAAGACUGGGAUAACUUCGGGAAACCGAAGCUAAUACCGGAUAGGAUCUUCUCCUUCAUGGGAGAUGAUUGAAAGAUGGUUUCGGCUAUCACUUACAGAUGGGCCCGCGGUGCAUUAGCUAGUUGGUGAGGUAACGGCUCACCAAGGCAACGAUGCAUAGCCGACCUGAGAGGGUGAUCGGCCACACUGGGACUGAGACACGGCCCAGACUCCUACGGGAGGCAGCAGUAGGGAAUCUUCCGCAAUGGACGAAAGUCUGACGGAGCAACGCCGCGUGAGUGAUGAAGGCUUUCGGGUCGUAAAACUCUGUUGUUAGGGAAGAACAAGUACGAGAGUAACUGCUCGUACCUUGACGGUACCUAACCAGAAAGCCACGGCUAACUACGUGCCAGCAGCCGCGGUAAUACGUAGGUGGCAAGCGUUAUCCGGAAUUAUUGGGCGUAAAGCGCGCGCAGGCGGUUUCUUAAGUCUGAUGUGAAAGCCCACGGCUCAACCGUGGAGGGUCAUUGGAAACUGGGGAACUUGAGUGCAGAAGAGAAAAGCGGAAUUCCACGUGUAGCGGUGAAAUGCGUAGAGAUGUGGAGGAACACCAGUGGCGAAGGCGGCUUUUUGGUCUGUAACUG